UACGUAGGGUGCAAGCGUUGUCCGGAAUUAUUGGGCGUAAAGAGCUCGUAGGCGGUUUGUUGCGUCGGCUGUGAAAUCCCGAGGCUCAACCUCGGGUCUGCAGUCGAUACGAGCAAACUAGAGUGUUGCAGGGGGAGACUGGAAUUCCUGGUGUAGCGGUGAAAUGCGCAGAUAUCGGGAGGAACAUCAGUGGCGAAGGCGGCCCUCUGGUCCAGUACUGACACUCAAGUGCGAA
rnacentral:rRNA from 1 species